rnacentral:rRNA from 1 species
AACCCAAAGGACUUGGCGGUGCCUCAAACCCACCUAGAGGAGCCUGUUCUAUAAUCGACAACCCCCGUUAAACCUCACCACUCCUUGCCCCAAACAGCCUAUAUACCGCCGUCGCCAGCCUACCCCAUGAGGGAACCACAGUAAGCUAAAUGGUUAUUACCACAAACGUCAGGUCGAGGUGUAGCUAAUGGAGUGGGAAGAAAUGGGNUACAUUUUCUGACC